rnacentral:lncRNA from 1 species
AUAUCAUAAUGCAAGAUGCAUUUAGUCCAACUUCAGAGGACCCCAGAGUCUAAGUAUCAACACUGUUUAAAAGUCUAAAAUUUCUUCUGUAACUUAAGACAAUCUCUUAACUGUAACCCUGUAUAAAAGAAAUAAUAAUAAAAAAAGCAGAUCACAUACUUCUAACAUACAAUGGCACAGAAUAUACAUUACCAUUCCAAAGGGAGGAAAGGGCACAUAGUGAGGAAAUACUGGACCAAAGCAAGACUUAAAUAAAACCUAGCAGGGAAAACUCCAAAUUCGGUGUCUCCAUGUCAAAGUCUCUUCAGAUCUACAGCUCCCUUCAGCUUUGUUGACUGAAACACUUCUCUCUUUGGGUCUGGUUCCACACCCUGUUAGCAGCUCUUCUUGACAGUUAUCCCACAACACUGGCAUUUCCAGCAUCUUGGGGUCUUCACAAUUAAGGCUUCACCUUCACAGCUUCCCACAGUGGCCCCUCUGUACCUCAUGCAGGGACUGCCUUGCCAACUUCCUGGCCCGUUUGGCUUUCCUUAACCUCAGAUGAAGAUUCAGCAACCCCUUUACCCUGAAUCCUGGACUCGUACUCCAGAACCAACUGGCUGAAGUGCCAUGGUUUUCUGCUUGCUACUUGAAAUGUGUCUUAGUCACUAGGGCUAGGGCUAGAACCAGUGCCCCUAAUUUUAUUACGUUUUCAGUUCUUGGUGAUCUUCUUUUCUAUCUAAGCUUUCUUUUAAUGCCCCUUUGUAAGUGGGGAGCCUAGCUGGGUGGAGUCUUGCCCUGAGGUCACUGCUCCUUAUUGCACUUAGUGUCAGGCUUUCCUUUAAACAUUUGAUCUUCAUGAGCACAAGACUUGGCUUCAACAUCACCUUUCCUGCUGUUCUUUUUCGACUUGGCCCACUUGCUCCUUUUUGUUGUAGAUCUGCACAAGAGUGAUUACUAAUAACCAUGUGACACAGUCAGUAAUAGGCUGCCAUUCGAAAUCUCCUCUGCUAAUAACUGUUAAUCCAAAACUCUUCAAUUUAACCUCUGGCAUAGAUUUUUGGGUAAAGGCAAAAAGCUGCCAUAUCCUUUAUGAAAAUAUCACAAGAAUGGUCUCUAGGCCACUUAACUAAUAUUCUUCUCCUUUGAAACCUCUUGAGCUGGGCCCAUGUUGCUCUUAGUACUACUUCCAAGCAACUAGUAGGAUGGCCCAGUUAAGCCCUGCUUAAAAUAUUCAAUGACUUUUCUUGUAUAAUGUCCCAGUGUUUUUCUGUUUCUUCAACAAAUAGCAUGUUGAGCCCUGGCACAGCAAUGCACCACUCCCUGGUACCAAUUUCUUCCUUAGUCAAGAGCUAAACGUCCUGAUCCAUGGGCAAUAGAUAGGCACAGAGAGAUACUGGGCUAGAUGUGUUCUUUCCAAGCUGUACAACUGGAGACCAAGAGUGCAAAUAGAUGAGCCUCUGAGGAUCAUUUCUAUUCAAACCACCAGAAAGUGAUACAGUGAGAUUAACAAAUCCUGUUCUGGACAGAAACAAGAACAGAGACCAUGGCUUAUCUCACCCAGGCUAUUCUGGGUUCUUUUGUGUUUUCUCAUUUCAUGUUUGAAAACUGAAUCUGUUCUCAUCAGAUUUCAAAAGGCAAUGCAGUGAUGGAAGAGAAAGAUAAAGUGGGGGCAGAGGUCUCCUGGCUCGUGGGAAGGCAGUUGCUUGGCACUCACUGGAUUUGCUGGGCUGUAAUUGAACUGCAAGUCAAGAAGCAUCUCUAUGAGGUAGCCUGGGGCCUGCAGAUAAGCAGUCAUUUUCCAAGAAGUACCUGAGCAGUCACCAGCUUCUCCUUAUUAUUGUGUUCAGUGAACGUAACCGGGCAGGAAGCCUUUGUCCCGACUUUUAAGAAAAGCUUUUCUUUUCAAACAUCAAAAGACAAAAAUGUAUGAAGUCUCCACUGGGACUGGAGAAUAUCCAUCGAGCUUACUUACAUGGGUCUGGGCAGAACAUUUCUGUUCCUUAUCUAUUGGCGUCUCUAUUGAGCUGUGUACAGCACGGCUGCUGGCUUCCCCCAGAGCGAGUGAUCUAAGAAAAAGACCCAAACAGAAGGCUCAGCGUGGACCUGCAAUCUUAGAAGUGACAUAUAACCAUCAGGGCGAUAGUCUGUUCAUUGCAGAAACCAACCUUGGUAAAACUCUGGGAGGGAUUCCAUAAAGAUGUGGAUUCUGGCCCCAAAGACCAUCUAGGGCCUUCGUGGGGGCCACUAACAUUCGUGAAGGAUUACUGAGGGACAUCUUGUGCCAUGUUGCCUUCAUACGCGCACUGGAUUUAAACAUGCUUGAGUUUGGCCCCCACUGCUGCUUCCAGUUCCUUUAUCUUACAGACUAGGAGAAUGAACAUCAGCAAAUGGGAUGACCUGGUUCAGUCUUCUUCCAAUACCCCUUCCAAUCGCCAGAGCUGCCAUAAUUUCACCCAUAAAACAGUGUACCUCACAACUUUAAUGUCAAAGUGAAUGCAAACCUUACCUCUAAGCCAGAAUUAAACCUUUCAACAUGCUACUAAGGAGUUAAAGUAACAAACAAAACACAAUAUGUUGUUCUCUUCGUUAGAAACAAUUGAUUAUAAUUUUAGUUCCCAACACUUUUAAUGUGAUAGAUAAUGUGCAAGGAAUUAAAAGAUUUUAAUGGUGCUACCCCUUAUGAGAGGAAGUUGUCAGUGUACUGAGAAUCCCAUAAGUAAGUAUUUUUGUGGAAUGUAUUUCUUCUGCAUUGCUGAAUGGCAGCCAGAUUUUUGUCAGAAAAAUAAAUUAGAAAAUGUUGUUUUCCUGGUUUCAGGGAACUUCUGGGCUCAGUGUUCAGUUUUCAGACCACAAAUCCAUGAUUCAUCAAAAAAUGACCAGGAUUAAUGAGCACAGAGUGUUUCAUUUGCUGCUGGCUGUCACCCUACCUUUUGAUGGUUCCUACUCUAUACUGUGUCUGCAAAUUCCAUUCUCACUGGAACACAUAUAAAUCAGAACCAUUAACAAUGUUGAAACACAGCUCCAAGCCAGUCUCUUAGCUGAGGUUGUUCUUCAGGACAAGGUGUUUUCUACUUACUUCGACUUCAGUUUAAAGCCACAAAGCCAUGACUGUGUGCUUGUGGAGCUUGGAUAUAUUUGUAGCUUACUGUUCAUCUCUAGGACGUCUGUGGUCUGCUGUGGCGUGCCAGGUGGCAAACGGUGAUCAGUUUGGUAUAGGGAAAGAAUCUUUUCUUUACAUCUGACUAUGCAAGUAUAUUUGAUAAAUAAUUUUAGAACUCUUUAUGUAUUCUGGGCCUCAUGUUCUGAAAAGGGAGAAAGAUUCACACAAUUGGUGUCAUCUGGGUGGCUGUGGAGAUGGCUCUGCAGGUAAAAUCACUGGCCACCAAGCCUAAGGAUUUGAGCUUGAUCCCUGGGACCCACAGGAUGGAAUGUGAGAAAGACUCCUACAGUUUGUUCUCGGAUUAUCACCACGGUGCAUGGGUGCGUGCAGGCACUCACUCUAAAUAAAUUCAGAAAAAAAAAAAAAAAAAGAAGCUUGUGGUGUAGCUGUUGGAUAAGCUUGACAGGAAUAGUUAUGUAACAAUGUGCUAUAACAAAAGUUAUUCACAAAAUGUUCAAGAAAGAAGAAAGAUUGUUUCUCCAUGACAGGGGAAGGAGAGACAUCAGCAAGACCGUUCCCUGCAUCCAUCCCUCCAUUGAGUUUCAGGUCAACAAUAGAAUUUCCACAAACUUGUGACAGAAUGCUUUUUUAAAAUGGUGAACAAUGAUUCUAAAACCCCAAAGUUCCAUAAGGUAACUGAUUUUAAAACUUAUUUAGCUACAGUUAUGUUCAUUCCAUAAGUUUUCUAUUGUGUUUUUUUUCCUUCUUCUAAAGUUAUGAUAAUAACAUUUGUGACUAGCUUCUCUAAUUACAAAAUGAAACUUGACAGACUCAUUCCAAUGCACUUAUAGGGGGUAUUUUUUCAUUAUUAUUAUUGAUUGGUCCUUCAAAUCCAAAGAUUAGAGCCUUGUUAAUGGUUCCACCUGAGCUGGAGACGGAAGAGAGAUGCACUUGUUUGGAAAGGAACACCUGCUUAUUGGCCUAAUCACAUCUGCAUUAAGGGAAAAUUAAUUUGC